GCUUAGUCCUAAACAUUACUAGCACCCUACACCAGCUAUUCGCCAGGGAACUACGAGCCCCAGCUUAAAACCCAAAGGACUUGGCGGUGCUUUAAACCCCCCUAGAGGAGCCUGUUCUAUAAUCGAUAAUCCCCGUUCAACCUCACCUUCUUUUGUUUAACCCGCCUAUAUACCGCCGUCGUCAGCUUACCCUUUGAAGGUUCAAUAGUAAGCAUAAUUGGCUUAACCCUAAACGUCAGGUCAAGGUGUAGCGCAUGAGAAGGAAAGAAAUGGGCUACAUUCACUUCCCAAGUGAACACGAAUGAUAAAUUGAAACAUUUAUCUGAAGGAGGAUUUAGUAGUAAGUAGAAAAUAGAGUGUUCUACUGAAACCGGCCCUAAAGCGCGCACACACCGCCCGUCACCCUCUGCAGUCA
rnacentral:rRNA from 1 species